GCUGAAACAAACAAAUAAAACUCAAAAUAAACAACAAAACUAAAAACCAACCACCUCUCCCAAUCUUUGCAAGUUAGCUCUAUGCUGGGACGCACCUUCAGCACUUAGCAAGGCUCACCCUGAGCCUAGGGUCAGCCUUCAGUGAACACUUAGUAUCUUCUCAAGUCUUUUCUAAGCAUAGAUUUUGCCUGGGUGUGUUUGUGGCUUUCUAAAUUCCUUGGUAUACAUGGCUGCUUUUGCAUGUCCUAAGUUCCCAAAAACAUCUCACCCCAGAUUCUCCUUUAGGCCUUUGAUGGUCUAUCGUACGUCUCUACCCAGAAUCUCUUGCCUUAGGCAUCCAUGGGUCUGUAGUCACCUGGCAGUUUUUAUGAGUGAUACCCACCAUUUUUCUUCCUGAGUUCCAAGUUAGGGAAGACAGAGAGAAGCACCUUGUGUUCACCCUUCAGAUAUCCCGUGGAGAAGUUAGAACAGGUGUACAUAAUAAUUUGUAAAUAAACUCUGCUCUGUCCCCUCUGCUUUGAGAGAGAGAGAACUGGGAAUCCAGCUUCUGCAGUUUCAAGACUGAGACUGCCACUGCAGCAGUGGGUGGGGGUGGGGUCAUGCUGGGCAAAGAUAAAAUCACUACAAAACUUUUCAACCACUUUGAAGAUUUCAUUUCAUUUCUUUUCUUUUUUAAAAUGAGAUAGGGUCUCACUAUGUUGACCAGGCUGAUCUUGAACUCCUGGCCUCAAGUGAUCCUCCCAUAUUGGCCUCCCAAAGUGCUAGGAUUACAGGCGUGAGCCACCAUGUCCAGCCAAGAUGUCUUUUUCUUGACUGGGCAUUUGCUUGGUUGCUGUUAACACUGGGUUGUUUUCCAGAGCACCAACAAAGUUUGUUCAGACAGUUCCUGCUUGUUUUUUCAAUGUUCUGAAGUGAAGAACAAUCCUUCGAGUUUUCUAGUCUGCCAUUUUGUUGACAUCACUGUCUCCUUUGCUUUAGAAAGAUAUUUCUGCUGGGUAUAGUAUUGUAGAUUGAAAGAAUUUUUUAUGUCAACGUUUUUUUUUUUUUUUUUUUUUUGCAGGUGCAAGAUUUAAUAGAGUGAAAACAGAGCUCCCAUAAAAUGGAAGGAGACCCAAAGGGGGUUGCCGUUGCCGGCUCGAAUGCCUGGGUUUCUAUCCCAAUCAUUGUCCCUCCCCCUGUACUCUCAGGUGAUAGAUAUUAGCUAUUUCUUUACCUCCUGUUUUUGCCUAAUUAGCAUUUUAGUGAGCUCUCUUUACUACCUGAUUGGUCGGGUGUGAGCUAAGUUGCAAGCCCUGUGUUUAAAGGUGGAUACAGUCACCUUCCCAGCUAGGCUUAGGGAUUCUUAGCCGGCCUAGGAAACGCAGCUAGUCCUGUCUCUCAGUCCCUCCUCUCAACAGGAAAACCCAAGUGCUGUUGGGGAGGCGGGCCAGCGACUGCUCUAACUGCUUCCUUCUGAACUAGGGCGCAGUAGGGGUCAUGCAGUUGAGAUUUCCUCGGGAGGGGUGCCUUUGAUGUCAUCAACAUCGAAGCAUGGGCUAGCAGGCUGGUCCAGGGGGCUGCGGUAGAUCUUAGUCCUCGACUGCACCUGGGGCUCCAUUUGAAGAACGAUUUGUAGUUUUACAGCUUCGAUUCUGGAAGAGACAAACUUAACAAGGAGGUUAAAAAGAUACAGGGAUUGAAAUGUAUGGCCUGCAGUGCAGGGGAUUAUUUCUUUGGCACACUUCACAGGCCCUGACUAUCUGCUUGUUAGUUUUGAAAAGGCCUGGUCCAGUAAAUAAAGAUUCAGCCAUCUGAUGAGUGCUAUCAAUGCCUAAGUGAAAGGUUUGGUGAAGAGUUUUAAGUAAUUUCCAUUGGUUAGCUGCAGGCAAAAGUAUUUUUCCUUCUUUGGUGGCUAACCAUCCUGAGGGGAGGAAACUAUGUCCUCAUGAGGUUCCCCAUUGUCAGGCCUCUGAGCCCAAGCUAAGCCAUCGUAUCUCCUGUGACCUGCACGUAUACAUCCAAAUGGCCUGAAGCAAGUGAAGAAUCACAGAAGUGAAAAUGGCCUGUUCCUGCCUUAACUGAUGACAUUCCACCACAAAAGAAGUGAAAAUGGCCUGUCUCUGCCUUAACUGAUGACAUUACCUUGUGAAAUUCCUUCUCCUGGCUCAUCCUGGCUCAAAAGCUCCCCCACUGAGCACCUUGUGACCCCCACCCCUGCCCGCCGGAGAACAACCCCCCUUUGACUGUAAUUUUCCUUUACCUACCCAAAUCUUAUAAAACGGCCCCACCCCAUCUCCCUUCGCUGACUCUCUUUUCGGAUUCAGCCCGCCUGCACCCAGGUGAAAUAAAUAGCCUUGUUGCUCACACCAAGCCUGUUUGGUGGUCUCUUCCCACAGAGGUGGAUGCGAGUGAAACCCAUCUAUUUCUCCUGCUGAGUAGUGGGGCUUGGUUUCCCAGAGGGGACUACCCCAUACUAGGGAUACUUCUAUAAGCAUUUCUAAUGGAGGGUCCCGCCUUGUGGCUCUUUCGGCUUCAAUAUCCACUUGGCGGUUCCCUUCUAUUUCCCUUUCCUUUCUUUUCUGAUGACCCCGGCAGUGUAAGACUGCCACCUCUUUAGGUUUCUGUACAGCCAAUAAUAAUCUCCUAAUGGC
rnacentral:lncRNA from 10 species